rnacentral:rRNA from 1 species
GACGAACGCUGGCGGCGUGCUUAACACAUGCAAGUCGAACGGAAAGGCCCUGCUUUUGUGGGGUGCUCGAGUGGCGAACGGGUGAGUAACACGUGAGUAACCUGCCCUUGACUUUGGGAUAACUUCAGGAAACUGGGGCUAAUACCGGAUAGGAGCUCCUGCUGCAUGGUGGGGGUUGGAAAGUUUCGGCGGUUGGGGAUGGACUCGCGGCUUAUCAGCUUGUUGGUGGGGUAGUGGCUUACCAAGGCUUUGACGGGUAGCCGGCCUGAGAGGGUGACCGGCCACAUUGGGACUGAGAUACGGCCCAGGCGCAUACGGGAGGAAGGAGUGGGGAAUAUUGCCAAAUGGGCGGAAGCCUGAUGGAGCAACGCCGCGUGCGGGAUGACGGCCUUCGGGUUGUAAACCGCUUUCGCCUGUGACGAAGCGUGAGUGACGGUAAUGGGGAAAGAAGCACCGGCUAACUACGU